rnacentral:rRNA from 1 species
AUUGAACGCUGGCGGCAGGCCUAACACAUGCAAGUCGAACGGUAACAGGAAACAGCUUGCUGUUUCGCUGACGAGUGGCGGACGGGUGAGUAAUGUCUGGGAAACUGCCUGAUGGAGGGGGAUAACUACUGGAAACGGUAGCUAAUACCGCAUAACGUCGCAAGACCAAAGAGGGGGACCUUCGGGCCUCUUGCCAUCGGAUGUGCCCAGAUGGGAUUAGCUAGUAGGUGGGGUAACGGCUCACCUAGGCGACGAUCCCUAGCUGGUCUGAGAGGAUGGCCAGCCACACUGGAACUGAGACACGGUCCAGACUCCUACGGGAGGCAGCAGAGGGGAAUAUUGCACAAUGGGCGCAAGCCUGAUGCAGCCAUGCCGCGUGUAUGAAGAAGGCCUUCGGGUUGUAAAGUACUUUCAGCGGGGAGGAAGGGAGUAAAGUUAAUACCUUUGCUCAUUGACGUUACCCGCAGAAGAAGCACCGGCUAACUCCGUG